rnacentral:misc_RNA from 1 species
AAGCUUUACCCGCGCCCACCCCACCCCACUCCACACACACACACACACGCACACGCUCGCCCACACCAACACACACAUUCGCUUGCGAGUCGUCAUCGUCGUUGUCUGCGAAGGGAGAGGGAAGGGAAAGCGAGAGGCGUGGCACCGAGUUGCCGCGUACAUCCACGGAGAGAACGCGAAUCGCACAAAACUCGAAAACGGAAGCUCCCAUCAGCGGAUUCGAGGGCAGCGCCAUUAACGAGAGUUCCUGUGUUGCUGUCAUCUCCGUCGCUUCUCCAUCCCAAGCCCCCACCUCUAGCGCCCUUGCUCGUUGCCUCUCACAGCUUGCUCGUGUAUGGGGUCGAUGUCUCGCGAGCUGGCCACGACAACGGCGACGCCCUCGUCACUUUCUCCGGCGGAGCACCGUCGCGGCGGUGGUGAGAGGCUGCCACUGGGCAAGUUGCUGGAUCCGCUUCGCUGGUACUGCAAGUGGGUACGUGCGAAUCCGGAGGGCGCUUCAAGCCUGGAGCAGUUCUCGCGUACCCUCACCAUGCUGUGGUCUGACCCGACGAACCUGAUCACCUCGGAAGCAUGCUUUACACUGUGCAAGCUGCACACCUUUUCCAACUUCGCCAUCAUCUCUUCGGGCGGUCGCCGGACGAGCAAAACGGAGCUGCUGUCCCUCGUGCUGCGAGGCAUCCAAGAGGUGGAGUGCCUGAUGGAGCUGAUCCACCGCAAUUACGCCGGCCACCGUCGCACGUGGAAUGCGCUGCUCCUACUAGAGGCAGUCAAGUGCACGCUGAAGGCGUGCGUGCACCGUCAGCUCUUCCUCGUGCCAUGGCUAUGGGAGUCAAUGAAGGUGUCGCUGCGCCGUGCCCUGCGCCACCUGACCACCCUCACGCCGCGCCGUCGUGUGCGCGGCGGCGGCAACGGCGGUGUCGCCUCCGGCGCCGGCGGCAGCGGUGCUGGCAGCUUUGCCGCGUGGGCCUCUGGCGCUGGCGUUGUCGGAACCUACGCCGGUCCUCUCACGCAGGUGGACUAUAGUGGCGGCAGCGGCGGCCUAUGCGGCGAGGUCGUGGGGCCGCACAACACGCGCCUCGUCAUCCCGCGAGUCGCCUCUGGCCGGCGCCACGAGCACCGCCACGUGUACAGGGCGGGUGCCAGCUGCGCCGCCGACGAAGGAGAGGAGCACGUCACCUUCGCGCAGGAAGGGGACGUGGACGAGGAACUGGAGGAGGCGGAGGCGAUUGGGUUCACGUGGGUCGACGUGCUUGGCAUGAUCCUGGACAUGUACCUUCUCCUGCGCCCUGUCCUCCUCGUAGCGAUGGCGCGGCACGCAUUCCUGGCGCUGCCAGAGGAAACCACCAACUUGAUAGCUGUGCUGCCACCGCCUGUGUCGAAGGAGGAAAUGGCGGCGGCAGCCGAGGCAGCCGCCAAGGCUGCGGAAGAGGCGAAGAAGACAGGGACGCCGGUGAAGCCGACGCCGGGGCCCGACCCACUCGCGGCGCUCCACAAGGCAAUGGCCGCCGCACCGCAGCAGACAUUGCUGGGCAGCUGGCGCGUGUGGGCUGGGGUGACGGGGUGCGACUUCCUUGUCGCUCUUCUCGCCCGCCUCGUGCGCCACCACCGCGUGCCCGUGGUGUACAUCAAGGACAACGCCGAGAGCGACGACGGCGGCACGCCGGUGGCCUUGCUGGAGGGCGGUGAGGCAGCGUCGAUACAGGGAGGCGGCGCCGACGCGGCAGACGGCUUUGCCGCCAGUUCGACAGCCGUAACCGGUGCGACCGAUUCGCGCGCCAUCGGCGCAGCUAUGGAGCCCCCAGUGGUCUCGCGUGAUCACAUGCGGGUUCAGCAGGCACUGCGCAACGCCCUCUACAACGUCAUGCGCGACCCCUUCUUUACGGCGGUGCUGAAGCAGCUCGUCUACCAUCACUUCAUCCGCGGCUUCGUCAGUCGCGUCCCACUCCUCGGCACGUGCAUCUCUUUCUACGCCACCCACUACCUGUCGAUGCAGUACUACAGCUUCCUGUACACCCUGCGGCAGUAGGGUGGAGAGAGGACGAGUGAGCGAGGGCGGGCGCGGAUGGAUAACAAGCAUGCCGUUCACAGGUGCCCCUUCUCGCGGCGCCACUACGGCCAUCAGCACGCCAGCCGACAGCCGUCUCCACCCCCUCCCCUCCUCACACUCAGCAUCGUCAUCAACCUCCUGCGCUGCUGCGGGGGCCGAGCAGAGCGGCAAUGAGUCGACAGUGUGUAGGAGGGUGGGAUGGAAUGCGCAAUCCAGGCAUGUGUGUGUGUGUGUUUGGGGGGGGGGGGCACAAAAGAAUAAGAGAAGGCAUGGCGAUGGCCGGACACACAACAGAAGCGAAGAACCGAGCAACUGCGGAAUGCGCACUCCGUUGGUGUCCGCCCGUGUGCACAGCUCUCCCUCGUGUGUGUGUGUGUGUGUGUAUGCUUAUUGAGUCGUUUUC